UACGUAGGGUGCAAGCGUUGUCCGGAAUUACUGGGCGUAAAGGGUGCGUAGGCGGCUUUCUAAGUUGGAUGUGAAAACUCUGGGCUCAACCCAGAGCCUGCAUCCAAAACUGGAGAGCUAGGGUUCUGGAGGGGAAAGCGGAAUUCCUGGUGUAGCGGUGAAAUGCGUAGAUACACCAAGAACCCCGAUUGCGUAGGCAGCUCGCUGAGCCGGAAACUGACGCUGAGGAGGCGAAAAGCGUGGGGGAGCAAACA
rnacentral:rRNA from 1 species